rnacentral:rRNA from 1 species
CUGGCUCAGAACGAACGCUGGCGGCAGGCUUAACACAUGCAAGUUGAACGGGAUUUGUGUGGUGCUUGCACCAUAUAAUGAGAGUAGCGCACUGGUGAGUAACACGUGGGAACGUGCCUUUUAGUGGGGGAUAACAUCUGGAAACGGAUGCUAAUACCGCAUACGCCCUGAGGGGGAAAGAUUUAUCGCCGAAAGAACGGCCCGCGGAAGAUUAGGUAGUUGGUGGGGUAACGGCCUACCAAGCCGACGAUCUAUAGCUGGUCUGAGAGGACGAUCAGCCACAUUGGAACUGAGACACGGUCCAGACUCCUACGGGAGGCAGCAGUGAGGAAUAUUGGGCAAUGGAGGCAACUCUGACCCAGCCAUGCCGCGUGAGUGAGAAGGUUUUCGAAUUGUAAAGCUCUUUCGGGUGUGAAGAUGAUGACGGUAACACCAGAAGAAGCCCCGGCAAACUUCGUGCCAGCAGCCGCGGUAAUACGAAGGGGGCGAGCGUUGUUCGGAAUUACUCGGCGUAAAGGGUGUGUAGGCGGUUAAGUAAGAUAGUGGUGAAAUGCCGGGGCUCAACCUCGGAAUUGCCAUUAUGACUAUUUAGCUAGAAUGAUGCAGAGGAUAGCGGAAUACCCAGUGUAGAGGUGAAAUUCGUAGAUAUUGGGUAGAACACCAGAGGCGAAGGCGGCUAUCUGGGCAUUGAUUGACGCUGAGGCACGAAAGCAUGGGGAUCAAACAGGAUUAGAUACCCUGGUAGUCCAUGCCGUAAACGAUGAAUGCUGGUUGUCGGACGAAUGUUCGGUGACGAAGUUAACGCGAUAAGCAUUCCGCCUGGGGAGUACGGCCGCAAGGUUAAAACUCAAAGGAAUUGACGGGGACCCGU